rnacentral:rRNA from 1 species
UACGGGGGGGGCAAGCGUUGUUCGGAAUUACUGGGCGUAAAGGGCUCGUAGGUGGCCAACUAAGUCAGACGUGAAAUCCCUCAGCUUAACUGGGGAACUGCGUCUGAUACUGGAUGGCUUGAGAGUGGGAGAGGGAUGCGGAAUUCCAGGUGUAGCGGUGAAAUGCGUAGAUAUCUGGAGGAACACCGGUGGCGAAGGCGGCAUCCUGGACCAACACUGACACUGAGGAGCGAAAGCCAGGGGAGCAAACGGG